UACGGAGGGUGCAAGCGUUAUCCGGAUUCACUGGGUUUAAAGGGUGCGUAGGGGGGCAGGUAAGUCAGUGGUGAAAUCUCCAAGCUUAACUUGGAACUGCCGUUGAUACUAUCUGUCUUGAAUGUUGUGGAGGUGAGCGGAAUAUGUCAUGUAGCGGUGAAAUGCUUAGAUAUGACAUAGAACACCAAUUGCGAAGGCAGCUCACUA
rnacentral:rRNA from 1 species